rnacentral:tRNA from 1 species
GGCCUGCUAGCUCAGUUGGCUAGAGCGUCGUGCUAAUAACGCGAAGGUCGUAGGUUCGAUCCCUGCGCAGGCCA